rnacentral:tRNA from 1 species
UCUAAUAUGACAGAAUUAAUGUAAUGAAUUUAAGCUUCAUUUAUAAAGAUUAUAAUCUUUUUUUAGAA